AGAGUUAAAGAGUGUGGAAAGGCUCCACCAGAACGGGGUGGCCCAGCCAAAAGAACUGAUUCCGUUUGUGCACUUGUAGGGAGGGCUGGGGUUGCAGGGAGCGCGCUCUGGCACAGUGAUCCCUAGGGCGUGGGUCUCACUGCCCAGGUCUGUCGGGAGAGGAAGCUGAGGUUCCCAGCUGGAGAAACCAGAGCUGCUGCUCCGGGGACCUCCCCACUGGCUGGCCGCCACCCCACUGCCCACGCCCUGCCCACUUCCAGCUGCCAGGAGGCUCACCUGAUUCCCACCAGUUCAAAGCAGUUCUCCUCGAAGUGCUUGGAGCAGAAGUAGAUGUACUCGGACGCCGGGUCCCACAGGCCCUGGCCGCUGGGGUCCAGCCGCUGGCAGUUGGCCAACCACAAGCCCCGCCUUGGAUUGUCCUUUUUGGGGAGCCUGCGGGGCCACAAGCCCGUGAGCCCAACGGGAAAGGCCGGCCCCGCUCAUGCCGCCCCCAGACCUCGCGCUGACACUGCCUGCGCACAGACAAGGAAGCUGAGGCCUCCAGAGGAAAAGAGACUCGCUGAACAUCAUCACGUAGUCCUCAGAACUUGAAGUCCUGUUUUCUGUUAUACAAGCACCAAAUCUCAGAGCAGGAGAGACCAGCUUGAUGCAGCAAUCCCCGAACAUCAUCCCAGAGGGAAGCAUUCGGUUCGGGAAAGAUCUCCAAUGACAACGAAAUCACUCCCCCAGAGGAGGACUCCAUCGGCACCCUGGGAAGUCCUUUGAAAUCCACCCAACCGCACCAUUUUCAAAUGCACACUAUUCGCUUUGAAUCCAGAUCCACUGUAUUUCACAGGAUGCCUGAUGUGUCAUUCUACUCGCUCAGCCCCAGUGUGAUCAGAGCCAGCUCUGUGAUCCGAAGAAAUACCCCAAUGUCUUCAUUUACAAAAUGUGGCUGGGGAGCUCCGUGGUUUGUAAGGCCACGUCCAUCUGACUGUCUAACAAUGAAAGGAAUUGCAGUGCUCGGGGAAGUCAUUCCUCGCUGUCAACAGAAAGCGAGCGCACUGCCGACCUCGCCUGGAUUGCUGAAGUUUGUCUACAUUUCUGUACUCGGCUCCAUUUCCUCUCUGAAAGUUCCUCAAGACCAAGUCCUGUGUCCCCUUCUCAGCAGAUGACCUCCUUCCCCAGCACGGCCCCCGCCACCCCUGGAGGCCGGCCCUGCCCGCUGUGCCCGCUGUCCACGCGCCGGGCAGCCCGACCACCACAGCCAGGACUGCCCGCCUCCCCUGAGCCCAGGGACGACGUGCCGAGGCGAGCUAACUGCCGCGGCUCUCGGACUCGGACGUUGUUACUCGUGGGAACUGUGGCUCCACGGCCGAGAAUGCCGCCUUCGCAGUUUCUCCUUUUCAGCCUCUGCUCUGGCCGCGCGAUCGGGGGGCGGACGCCCACACGAGGCUCCUGGGGCAUCUUUUCAGACCCGGCCCCCACCCCUCUGCCCGGGACACGGCCUCCAGGCCUCCCGCCCACCCGGCUGUACCAUGGUGAGCGCCACCACCGCACUCCGACCUCAACGGCUGCAGCCGCCCAACUGCCGCUGCCGCGCCGGGCGCUCCUAGGACGCGCCGCCGCCAACACCCAUUGGUCUGGAGCACCAUGGGGCGGGCCAAGGUCUGGAAUCCAGCUCCCGAUUGGCUAGCAUGCGACACCCAGAGUGUGGCGCGUUCUGAUUGGACGUGGAUUUGGCGGGAAGGCUGCGGGGUCGCCGAAGGAAGAGCGCAGGUGGCGCCAUGCGGCAUGUGGAAUCUUAGUUCCCCAACCAGGGAUCGAACCCAGGCCCCCUACAUUGGGAGCUCGGAGUCUUAACUACUGGACCGCCAGGGAAGUCCCUCAUUCCUUUUUCUCUUAAACAACUUUAUGAGACAUAGUUCAUAUACCAUACCAUUCACCUGUUUAAAGUAUACAAUUCAAAUACUUUUAGUAUGUCAGUGGAGUUGUGCAACCCUUACCUUAAUCAAUUUUAGAACAUUUCCAUAACCCCAGAUUUCAUCCCUUUUUAUUGCCAAAUAAUAUUCCAUUGUAUAGGUAUACCACAUUUUGUUUAUCCACUCAUCAGUUGGUGGGUAUUUGCAUUUUGUGGAUAUUAUGAACAAUGCUGCUAUGAACAUCUGUGUUCAGAUGGUUCAGAUGGUUCAGAUGUUUUGUGUGUACAUAUGUUUUCAUUUCUCUAGGAGUGGAAUUGCUGGGUCAUAUGGUCAACUCCAUAUUUAACCUUUUGAGGAGCUGCCAGACAAACCAUGUGAUUUUUUUAUCCUGAUUUUCUCACUUAACAUCAAUCAUGUGCAUUUUCACAAAUUGUUAAAUGUUCUUCGAACCCUUGACUUUUAAUGUUUACAGAAUUCCAAAUUGUAGUUAACCAAUCCCCUGUUAUUGGGCAUUUAGAUCAUUUCCAAUUUUCAUAUUAUAAACAGCAUUUUCAUGUGCAUCUUUGGGCAUCCGGUUUUCCAUGCAUCUCUGGUGAUUUCUGUGGAGCAGAUUAGUCAGAACUUUGGAUCGCAGGACAGGCAGUUUUAAGGCUCUUGGUGCAUGAUGAUGAAUUGCUUUCCAAAAAAGCUGUGUCCAUUUGCCUUCUCCCAAGUUGACUUUGAGAAUGCCAGUUGCAGACCACCUUAUAUUUUAAUUGUGUCCAAAGGUCUCCAGGGCAGGGUCUUGUUUGGGCAUCUUUGACCCCAUGCCCAGCUCAGUGUGCAAAAUAUAAUACAAGUUAGUGUUACACGAAUGAGUGAGAGCAAAGGAAGGCCCCGAUUAGUACCAGUGUCUGAGUCACUAUGAAGGCCAGCUCCAUAGGACUUACCACCCAGUUGACAUGGGGACUCGGUGCAGACUCAUGUGUUGAAAGGCAUCUCAAAGUUGAAGUGGCCGAUGGGAGAGAUGAGGAAACUACACAACACAGUCAUUCAGACAGUCUGAAGACGGGCAGGAAUUCUUUUUUGUACUCCACUCUGCGGGCAGCCGUCUUUAUGCAAAGCCCUGGAAGAAUGACCUUCACUGAGCUGGUGAGGUCAUCAAACUCUCUGUUCACAUGGAUAUCCUGAGGAGAAACCCAUUACAAGUCUGUACGUUAUCACUUUCUAAGAACUUGACUGUUUUACUUAUGUACCGAAGGUAUCAAAGAAGCUUAUUAGGGCAUUAGUUGUCCCAAGCCUGAAGGAUUGAAACUGUAAACACAUCUCUGGAAAGGCUUUGACUCAGGCCUGGGUUGAAAAGAAAAGAAGUAGGAUAAGCAGUGAUUUGUGACUAGACUCUUUUCAUAAUUUUUAUUUGGGGAUUCUCUCCUUAAUGUUUAACCACCUUAGAAAAG